rnacentral:rRNA from 1 species
AGGAUGAACGCUGGCGGCGUGCUUAACACAUGCAAGUCGAACGAUGAAGGCUGGAGCUUGCUCUGGCUGGAUUAGUGGCGAACGGGUGAGUAACACGUGAGUAACCUGCCCCAGACUCUGGGAUAAGCGCUGGAAACGGCGUCUAAUACCGGAUACGAGCUU